ACCAUCCUUUUCUUGGGGUUGCGCUACUGUCCAAUGAACGCAUAGUGAGGGCAGUACUGCUAACGCCUAACAACACACCUGCAUCGGUUAGAGCUUUUGCUUUACCUUGGUGCAAUUUUUGGAAAA
ensembl:snRNA Rnu4atac U4atac minor spliceosomal RNA